UACAGGGGGUGCAAACGUUGCUCGGAAUCAUUGGGCGUAAAGCGCACGUAGGCGGUCUGUUAUGUCGGAUGUGAAAGCCCUCGGCUCAACUGGGGAAGUGCAUCCGAAACUGGCAGGCUAGAGUACCAAAGAGGGUCGCGGAAUUCCCGGUGUAGCAGUGAAAUGCGUAGAGAUCGGGAGGAACAUCUGUGGCGAAGGCGGCCAUCUGGACCAGCACUGACACUGAGGCACGAAAGCGUGGGGAGCAAACAGG
rnacentral:rRNA from 1 species